rnacentral:misc_RNA from 1 species
UACGGAGGGUGCAAGCGUUAAUCGGAAUUACGGGGCGUACAGCGCGCGUAGGCGGAUGAUUAAGUCAGAUGUGAAAGCUCCGGGCUCAACCUGGGAACUGCAUUUGAGACUGGUCGUCUAGAGUACAGAAGAGGGGGGUGGAAUUCCAGGUGUAGCGGUGAAAUGCGUGGAGCUCUGGAGGAACAUCAGUGGCGAAGGCGACCCACUGGGCUGAUACUGACGCUGAGGUGCGAAAGCGUGGCUAGCGAACAGG